UACGUAGGGGGCAAGCGUUGUCCGGAAUCAUUGGGCGUAAAGAGCGUGUAGGCGGCCCGAUAAGUCCGCCGUGAAAGUCCAGGGCUCAACCCUGGAAUGCCGGUGGAAACUGUCGGGCUGGAGUCCGGAAGAGGCGAGUGGAAUUCCUGGUGUAGCGGUGAAAUGCGCAGAUAUCAGGAGGAACACCGAUGGCGAAGGCAGCUCGCUGGAACGGUACUGACGCUGAGGCGCGAAAGCGUGGGGAGCAAACAGG
rnacentral:rRNA from 1 species